rnacentral:lncRNA from 1 species
UUGGCAAGCUGAUGAUCCUUCAAAAAAUUUGGAUUAUUACGAACUAAUUCUUACAGAUACUCAAUCUGUAGAAAUAUUCCCCAUUCCAGACAAAAAGAAUCCAAAUAUAAUUAGCCAUUCUAAGUGUAUAAUAAAGAAAGUUUGUUCACCAAAUGAAUGGACUUCUCUUUAUUCCAAAAAAUCAUUCUCAGUCAGAUUCAUUCCAGAUGGAUUCACAUAUCAAGAUUAUAAAAUGGCAUGGUAUCGUGCUUUUUUAUACAGACCAUGCAAUCAUUCAUGGUUCUUCACAUUCAAAGAAAGUUGUGCCAGAGAAUUUCCAAUUUGAUUCAAUCAUUGGUGGCAAUGGUUCAGCCCUCAAAAGGAAAUAUUACCUCCAAAUGUGUUAAUGGGAUUUCAGACUUAUCUCAAAAGAGCAAAGGGGAAGAGUAUAUAAGACCUAUAUUAUUCCAUAUAGAAUUCAAAGUACCAUGGAUAUUUUGCUGGAGUUUCAAAAUUCAUCAAGAAUUAGAAAAACCUCUUCCAAUGUCACUAGUCAGAGAAUUCAAUUACAUAAAAUGCAGCACAACUCCAAGGUGAUUUUGAAGGUGUUAUUAAUCCUUUGUCUAUUAAUGUUUUUAUUUCUUUUUUACAAAAUUCAUUACAGAAUUUAUCUAAGCCUCAAACUCCUACAAUAAAUACAUUAGAUCAAAUAAUAGAAGACAAUUCAUCUGAAGAUAUAAAUAAUUCAUCUGAAGAAUCAAUAAAUUCAGAAAUCGAAGAAAAUAUAAUUUUUCCAAUAGAAAAACAAUUUGAAGAAAAAGAAGAUAAUCGAAUAAAUAAAAUUAAAAGAAGAAGAACUUAUAAUAGAAAUGAUAAUAAAAAUUGAAAAAUGGUAAGUACAAAGAAUUAUUAUUCAAGACCUAGUCCUCUAGAUAUUCAAUAUGAAGAAAGAUCAAAAUUUCGUACCACUAAAUAUGAUGGAGACUCAAUUUAUGAAUGGAAUAUAGAUUGAUUUAUGACUUCUGGAACAGGAGUUUUAUAUUUAAAAGUUGAAGUACUUUCUAAAGGAAAAUUUAUUUCAAGUACAUCUGAUUGAAUAUUUCCAAUUAAAAUCAGAAUAUAAAGAAAAAUUAAUAUUAGAAUGGAAAGAUGAAUUAGAAAAAAGAAAAUUUGAUUUUCCUUUCUUUACUUGGCUAUCAUUCUAUAUAGGAAUAAAUGAUGUCUAUAAUACACCACAAAUUAAUGUUCAAACUAAUUUAUAUAAAAAAUGGAAAUUAAAAGAUGAUCAAAUUAUAACAUCUAUACAUCCUCCAUUACAAGAAGUAAAAAUAAACAUCGGUCAAGGAGAUAUAAUAGCCUCACCUUUUAAAAAGGGUAGAGAAGUUGAAUCCAGUACAAAUAACACUAUAAAUUUAGAAGAUAUCAAAAAGAUUUAUCAACAAAAUAAUUAUACAAAUCAAAUUCUUCAUACAAUAUCUCAACAUAUGGAAGUAUUAAAUACAAAAAUUGAUACAUUAAAGAAACCAGAAUCUAAAUUCCCUAAUGACAUUUCAGCACCACAUUUCCAGCCUAGAAGUUUGACAAGAGAAAAAGAACAAGAAUUAAUCCAAAAUAUUAAUAAUCAAAAAAUAAAUACUACAGACAAUAUAUUAAAUAGAAUAUCACAAUCAUUACAGAAUUUAUCUAAGCCUCAAACUCCUAAAAUAAAUACAUUAGAUCAAAUAAUAGAAGACAAUUCAUCUGAAGAUAUAAAUAAUUCAUCUGAAGAAUCAAUAAAUUCAGAUUUCGAAGAAAAUAUAAUUUUUCCAAUAGAAAAACAAUUUGAAGAAAAAGAAGAUAAUCGAAUAAAUAAAAUUAAAAGAAGAAGAACUUAUAAUAGAAAUGAUAAUAAAAAUUGGAAAAUGGUAAGUACAAAGAAUUAUUAUUCAAGACCUAGUCCCCCAGAUAUCCAAUAUGAAGAAAGAUCAAAAUUUCGUACCACUAAAUAUGAUGGAGACUCAAUUUAUGAAUGGAAUAUAGAUGGCAAAGCAGAAUAUGAAGUAUUAAAUAAUUUACAAGAAAUGGGAAUGGCUAGAUUAGCUUAUAAAAUAAAAAAUAUUCAAGAAAGAAAUAUUGCAACAUUAUUAGUUUCAAGAUUUACUGGACAAUUAAAGAAUUGGUGGGAUAAUGCUUUAACACUUCAAGAUAAAUUAUCAAUAUUAGAUCAUACACAAGAAAUUGAAGAUGAUCAAGGAAAUAUUCAAAUUCAAUCAGAUGCUGCAGAAUUCUUGAUAGUAACAAUAGUAAUGUAUUUCAUAGGAAAUCCAAAAGAAGAAUUAAAUUCUAAUAAAACAUUUUUAACAAACUUAAGAUGUCCAACAUUAUCAGACUUUAGAUGGUAUAAAGAUAUGUUUUUAACAAAUGUAUUAAGAAGACCAGAUUGCAAUGCUUCAUUCUGGAAAGAAAGAUUCAUAACAGGAUUACCAAGCUUAUUUUCACAAAGAAUAAUGGAUAGUUUGCAAAAGGAAAUGGGAACAGAUGUAAUUUCAUUUGAAAAUAUUACUUUUGGACAAUUAUUUGCUUUUGUGAAAAAAGAAGGAUUAAUGUUAUGCUCAGAAUUAAAAUUACAAAUAAAAUAUGGUUCAAAAACAAAAGAAGUAGGAUCAUUUUGUGAUGCAUUUGGAAUUAAAAGAAUUAAAUCACCCUCUGCAUACAAAAAGAAAAUUAAAAAAUAUAACAAUAAGAAAAUAAGAUACAAAAGAACUGAAGGAAAUAAACCAGAAAAGAAAAGAAGAUUUAUUAAAAAGAAAAUUAUUUGCUACAAAUGUGGGAAAGUAGGACAUAAAGCAAAUAAAUGUAAUUUAAAAGAAAAAAUUACUGAAAUUUGUGCAGAAGAAGAAGAGAUUAAAAAUAAAUUAAUAAACUUAUUAAUAAAUGAAAAAAAUCAAAGUUCAGAAGAUGAUUAUUAUAAUGACAUAAGUACUUCAGAAAGUGAAGAAGAUUGUAAUUGUUCAAAUACUCCAAAAUAUAUAAAUGUUAUAACUAAAAAAGAAGAUAAAGAAUUCUUAUUAGAUAUAAUAGAAAAGAUUAAUGAUCCAAUAGCUAAAAAGGAAUAUUUGGAAAGAUUAAAAAGUCUAAUUAUUCAAGAAGAUAAAAUGCCAAAGAUAAUAGAACCUUUUAGCAUUUCGAAAUUAAUAGAUAAAUAUCCAAAUAUAAAUAUAAUGAAAAAAGAAACGACUAAAGAUCUUCAAACAGAAAUCAAUAAUCUUAAAAUACAGAUAAAACAAUUACAACAAGAGAUUAUAGAAUUAAAAACAAAAGAUUUAGAAAUAGAAGCAAAAAUAUCCUUAAUAUAUAAUCAACCAUCAACUUCUAAUUCCAAAACAGAAGAAAUAUGUUUAUCUGAAAAACCAGUAGAUGAAAUUCAAUAUUUAAAUACAAUAAAAAAAAUGACAUUUCAAAAAUGGUAUGCUUUAGUAACCAUUACUGUAGAAGAUUUCAAAGAAACACAUGUAACUCUAAUAGAUAGUAGAGCUGAUUCAAGUUGUAUUAAAGAAGGAAUAAUUCCUACUAAAUAUUGUGAAAGAACAAAUGAAACAUUAAUGGCAGCAAAUGGAGAAAAUUUACAAGUAAAAUAUAAAUUUACAAAAGGAUCAAUAUGUAAUAAUGAAUAUUGUAUCAGACAUAAUUUUAUAAUUGUAAAAAAUAUAAAUCAUGAUAUAAUAUUAGGAACACCUUUUUUAAUUCAAAUUUACCCAUUUGCAGUAAACCAUGAAGGAAUUUCAAUAAAUAUAAUGGGAAAAACUAUUACUUUUAAAUUCUUAACUCCAAUAAGACAAAGAGAAUUACAGAUAUUACAAACAUCUUCUAUUUAUAAAACAAUAAAUACUAUUACUAAAGUACAACAACAUAUAAACUAUAUCAAAGAAGAGAAAUCUUAUUUAAAAAUUGAAGAACAAUUAAAAGAAGCUAAAAUACAAAAAGAAUUUCUGAAAUAGAAGAAUUAUUGAAAAAAGAAAUUUGUGCAAAUAUUCCUAAUGCUUUUUGGGAUAGAAAACAACAUAUGAUAGAAUUACCUUAUGAAAAAGAAUUCAAUGAAAAGAAUAUUCCAACAAAAGCUAGACCAAUACAAAUGAAUUCUGAUUUAUUAGAAUUUUGUAAAAAAGAAAUAAAAACAUUAAUAGACAAAGGAUUAAUAACACCUUCAAAAUCACCUUGGAGUUGUGCUGCAUUUUAUGUAAUGAAUCAAGCUGAAAAAGAAAGAGGAGUUCCAAGAUUAGUCAUAAAUUAUAAACCAUUAAAUAAAGUUUUACAAUGGAUUAGAUAUCCUAUUCCUAAUAAAAAGGAUUUGCUUAAUAGAUUAUUUAAUGCAAAAAUAUUUUCUAAAUUUGAUUUAAAAUCAGGAUAUUGGCAAAUAUUAAUAACUCCAGAAGAUAGAUACAAAACAGCAUUUACAACACCUUUUGGCCAUUAUGAAUGGAAGGUUAUGCCAUUUGGAUUAAAAAAUGCACCAUCAGAAUUUCAAAAUAUAAUGAAUGAUAUUUUUAAUCCUUAUAGUUCAUUCAGCAUUGUAUAUAUAGAUGAUGUAUUAAUAUUUUCAGAAUCAAUAGAACAACAUUUUAAACAUUUAAAUAUAUUUCUAAAAAUAGUUAAGAAAAAUGGAUUAGUAGUAUCGGCCCCAAAAAUGAAAUUAUUUCAAACAAAAAUAAGAUUUCUAGGACACAAUAUAUAUCAAGGAACAAUAAAAUCAAUUGAUAGAGCUUUAGAAUUUGCUACUAAAUUUUCAGAUGAAAUAAAAGAUAAAAAUCAAUUACAAAGGUUUUUAGGAUGUUUAAAUUAUAUAGCAGAUUUCUUUCCCAAAUUAAGGCAAGAAUGUUCUAUAUUAUUUAAUAGACUAAAGAAAAAUCCAAAACCUUGGACAGAAGAACACACUCAAAAAAUAAAAUAUUUAAAAGGAAAAAUUGAAUCAUUACCAUGUUUAUGUUUACCACAUCCUAAAGCAUUCAUGAUAGUUGAAACAGAUGCAUCAGAAUUAGGAUAUGGGGGUAUAUUAAAACAAAGAAUAGAAGAAUCAAAAGAAAAAUUAGUUAGAUUUCAUUCAGGAACAUGGUCUGACCCUCAAAAGAAUUAUUCAACUAUUAAAAAAGAAAUUUUAUCAAUAGUUUUAUGUAUAUCUAAAUUUCAAGAUGAUUUAUAUAAUAAAAAUUCUUGAUUAGAAUAGAUUGUAAAUCUGCAAAAGAGAUUUUACAAAAAGAUGUUCAAAACAUAGUUUCAAAACAAAUAUUUGCUAGAUGGCAAGCUAUUUUAUCCGUUUUCGAUUUUGAAAUUGAAUUUAUAAAAGGAGAAAAUAAUUCAUUACCAGAUUUUCUUACUAGAGAAUUUUUACAAGGACAUGGAUCGUGAAAUGAUGGCCCAAAGAACUGAUCGGGAAUAUACAAAUUAUUUAAGAACCCAAAGAGAUUCUCCUCAACUCCUAAACAAAGAAGCAGUUCUUCAAUCCAGAUGAUAUCAAUAUUUUAUUCCAACCAGCAAUGGAAGACAAAGCAUUCCAGCCUAUCAAAUUUCCAAACAUGAUACAGUUUACAUACAGAGAAGCCCUUUGGCAACCCUUACAGCAAAAGAGAGAGCUUUCCUUCUUCAAAGAGUGAUUCAGAAAAAUACUAUUAGAAUUCAAGUUCUACGAAGAGCAGGAAGGAAUGAAGAAUUUCUUCAACAUUACAAAGACCAAAAUAAACAAUUAUCUAACCAACUUAAAGAUGUUGUUUAUUGAUUUUGCAGGAAUAUGGAUUCAAAAGCAGGAAAUUCUAGACCAAAGACUCCUCAAGAUUAUGAGAUGAGUCUUACUCCUGUAACUCAAAAUAGAUUCCAAUUACUAUCAGACUUUCCAGCACUGACCUACAGUCAAGCUGCUUGUACUCCAAUUUCCUCUCAAAUUAGACCAAUCCAACAAAUACCAAAAUCCCCAGAAAAAUUCACAGAAAAUACCUAUUUUACAAAACCAUUUACCCAACAUAUUACUUUAACAAGAUUCCAAGAAAUACCAAUAUAUUCUACACUCAAUCAGCUUACUCAAAAAAUCUUUCCUCAAAAAUGUUAUUGGCAAGCUGAUGAUCCUUCAAAAAAUUUGGAUUAUUACGAACUAAUUCUUACAGAUACUCAAUCUGUAGAAAUAUUCCCCAUUCCAGACAAAAAGAAUCCAAAUAUAAUUAGCCAUUCUAAGUGUAUAAUAAAGAAAGUUUGUUCAUCAAAUGAAUGGACUUCUCUUUAUUCCAAAAAAUCAUUCUCAGUCAGAUUCAUUCCAGAUGGAUUCACAUAUCAAGAUUAUAAAAUGGCAUGGUAUCGUGUUUUUUUAUACAGACCAUUCAAUCAUUCAUGGUUCUUCACAUUCAAAGAAAGUUGUGCCAGAGAAUUUCCAAUUUGGUUCAAUCAUUGGUGGCAAUGGUUCGGCCCUCAAAAGGAAAUAUUACCUCCAAAUGUGUUAAUGGGAUUUCAGACUUAUCUCAAAAGAGCAAAGGGGGAAGAGUAUAUAAGACCUAUAUUAUUCCAUAUGGAAUUCAAAGUACCAUGGAUAUUUUGCUGGAGUUUCAAAAUUCAUCAAGAAUUAGAAAAACCUCUUCCAAUGUCACUAGUCAGAGAAUUCAAAAUCAAAUGGUGGACUGGAUUCAAUCAAGAAUUCGGAGAUCAAACCAAUGUGAUAAGAUUCUUGACUACUGGAGACAAACUAAAGUGGACAAGACAGCCAACUAAUAUUCCAACCACUACACCUACUCCAACCACUCCAAAGAAAGAUAAAGAAAAGAUGACAGAUAUGGCAUCCGAAGAAAUUGCAAGCAACUUUCUGAUAAAGCAAAUGAUGCAGAAUCCCGAGAUACUCAAAGAAUAUUUGAAUUAUUUGCAAAAGCCAGAUAAGAAAGAAGAAACUGACAAAAUUGAGAAGUCAGCUGGAUCAUCCGAAUCCACUUUUGAUCCCUUUGGUGGACCAUGCGGACAAGACCCAAAUGACUUUUGAAAAAAGAUGUCGGCCACAAUUCAAGAAAAGAAAAUGAAAUUCAAAUGCAGAUGAAAUGCAAAGGCAG